ACUGUCUUGAGAUUUAGCUACAUGUGAUUCAGCAUGGUUUAUGCAAGUCAAUAGUCUUUACCUCGUGACUUAUCAAAUAAUUUUCUCACACUUCUACCUGUUUAUACAUGUAGGCCAUAUCACGUGUACUAAUAAAAACAAACAUAAAACUAGUGGUCGUCCCUUGUUCAUUGCCACAUUGAUUCAAUUUAUCCUUCAAAUAUGGCAUUUUUCCUCAUUUAUGGGUAGUGAGAUGCUUACAAAUUAACAAUUGGGAGCCUGAAACUGAAGAAUUUGAUUUUUGUUUAUUUAUUUAUUUUUUUCACUUCUGCUUUAUGUCUAAAUUUUUGAGUUUUUGUUAGAUGAAAAGUUCUCUGAAAUUGUUGGAAGUCCAUAUUACAUGGCUCCGGAGGUGCUCAAGUGGAACUAUGGACCAGAAAUAGAUAUAUGGAGUGCAGGAGUAAUACUCUACAUUUUAUUGUGUGGUGUUCCUCCAUUUUGGGCAGUGUGAAUUCAAGAUCUGAGAGGAGAGUAGCGAGAGGGAGGAAGGGAGUCACCACUACAUGCUGGCAGUGCCAGUGGUGCUUAACUUGUUUUUUUCUUCCACAAUUGAUGUCUAUUGUUUACACAACUUGCAAAUGUCAUGGGUCGCAAUGAGUGGCUUACAUGUUCGAGGAAGGCGAACCUUAUUUUUCAAUAUUGUAUCAUUCUUGUUUAAAAAGGUAUAUGUAUCCAACUUGGAAGAAACUUAUCUCCAUUUCCUUUUGGUGAUAACACAUACAGGAUUUGUCAACUGGUUGGCUUCAUUGUGAUUCUGGUCCAUUGUUUAAACCAGAGUACUUCACUUUACCAAGGUGGGUUCCUAUUGGGUAAGUGAACACUAAUUGGGUAUGAACACAUGUGCACCACAAUUUUCACCAGUAACUUGCUUUCCAUGACAGAAGUCUAUAAUCAGAAUACAGGACAUUUUUCCUCAUUUCCAUUUUCAUCGAAGUCAUUCUCAUUUAUGAAUUAAUGAUCCUGCAUAUGUGGAAAAACUCAUAACAAUUAUUCAUGCUUGCAGUUUGUAAAACAUAACAAUUGAAAUUGAGAAUAGCAUAAAUUCUGUUUUCACUCACGUCUGACCUUAUUUUCGUUCUUUUCUAUGAUCAGGAGAUUGCACCACAGUAUUCUGGUGUUCCCAUACCAUAGGAGUAUUAUGCGCCAGUGGGGGAUCAUGCCUCUCAAUUAGUCUCCAAAAUUGGUGUUGAGGUCCCGUACACACUUGCCAGACUUUAGCAUUCACAGGUGGAAACAUGUCAAUGAAGAAGUUACGGCACCUAUGUUUUAGCGUCUAAUGGUAAAAGUUUUACAUAAUUGGUUGAAUUCAUAUAAUAUAAUUAAUUAUGACUUACAAUAUUUGUGGUUGUUGCUAGGAUCAAUUUGACAUGCAAGGUGAAUCCACGGAUAUUAGCAAAGCGGUGGCAACAAAGUGUGGAUGGAGCUUGAGCACCCACACCUACAGAACUCGUAGAUCGCCGUUUUGAUUGGUUUUUGAUGAUGUUUGGAAACAUACUUGCAAAUCAAGAUCAAGUGUUGAAUUUUUUUUUUCCUGAGCUGAUACUUAGUUCUAGUUGCAAAUCAAAAUCGAGUGUUGAUUUUUUUUGUGGACUCCAUGUUAGUUCAUUUUGGGAUUUGCUUUGAUGGUUUUUUUGUUAUACUUAAUGGAUUAUUAUUAAAUUUGUUUGAUGCAUAUAUUUUGAUCUAUAAUAUAAAUUGUUUAGUGAAUUUUUUUGUGGAAUGGUGUAUAAUAGCUAUUGGAUUUC